AGGACGAACGCUGGCGGCGUGCUUAACACAUGCAAGUCGAACGGAAAGGCCCGCUUGCGGGUACUCGAGUGGCGAACGGGUGAGUAACACGUGGGCAACCUGCCCUCAGCUCUGGGAUAACUCCGGGAAACCGGUGCUAAUACUGGAUAUCAACUUUGCCUCGCAUGGGGUGUUGUUGAAAGUUUUUCGGCUGGGGAUGGGCCCGCGGCCUAUCAGCUUGUUGGUGGGGUGAUGGCCUACCAAGGCGACGACGGGUAGCCGGCCUGAGAGGGCGACCGGCCACACUGGGACUGAGACACGGCCCAGACUCCUACGGGAGGCAGCAGUGGGGAAUAUUGCGCAAUGGGCGGAAGCCUGACGCAGCGACGCCGCGUGAGGGAUGACGGCCUUCGGGUUGCAAACCUCUUUCAGCUCUGACGAAGCGAGAGUGACGGUAGGAGCAGAAGAAGCACCGGCCAACUACGCGCCAGCAGCCGC
rnacentral:rRNA from 1 species